GAAUCCCUUCGGGGUGUAAACUGCUGUCAGGGCUUAGGAAUUUUGACCAGACCCAAAGGAAGGGCCGGCUAACUUCGUGCCAGCAGCCGCGGUAAUACGAAGGGCCCGAGCGUUAAUCGGAAUCACUGGGCUUAAAGGGUGUGCAGGCGGAUCGACAAGUAUCUUGUGAAAUCCCACAGCUCAACUGUGGAAUUGCUCGGUAAACUGUUGAUCUUGAGUCAUAGAGAGGCAAUCGGAACGAUAGGUGGAGCGGUGAAAUGCGUAGAUAUCUAUCGGAACGCCAAAGGAGAAGUCAGAUUGCUGGCUAUGUACUGAUGCUCAUACACGAAAGCGUGGGUAGCGAACGGGAUUAGAUACCCCGGUAGUCCACGCCCUAAACGAUGUGCACUAGAUCGAGGAGGUCUUGACACCAUCUCGAUUGUAGUUAAAACAUUAAGUGCACCGCCGGGG
rnacentral:rRNA from 1 species